CUUCAGCAGUAUUUUUAGUACUUGUUUACAUACACGUUGGACGAAAUCGUUGUCAUAAGUAAAAACAGCCGAAGACAAAUUGUCUAUAAAAGAAAAAAAGAAAGAAUUGCAAGGUAUUUUAUUGGAAAAGUUCAAGGUCGAUAUACCUAAACAGGGAGGAGGUGGAUCAUCUACCACUAGGUCGAUGUGCCAUAAACUUCUAUUGGAGCCAGAGAAGUUUGCAUUGGCACUCGGUCUAAGCGAAAAAUUGGUAAAAACCUAGCUGCUGUAAUAGUAAUAAUAAACAGCCUAGAUCAAGUGAACAAUUCCACAGAAAAAUUUUCAGCUUUAUUAUUUUUUUUAAUUAUUAUUUUUGAGACAUUGCACUGGUGUUCCUGUAAGCUAAAGAUAACAAUUUGUGCAUUCGAGUGUCUAUGAAUGAUCAAAAAUGUUUCUAGCAUUUAAACGGUUUGAUUGAUCGGUAUAGUAUCUCCAGCAAAGUUGUAGAUAAUAAUUUUGUCCUUCAAAAAUAAAGUAUUUUUUUUAGAUAUUCAAUUUAUAAAUUUUUUGGAUUUCUUUUUGAUGACUCAAACAAAAUCUUAUAGCAAGAAAUGGUACUUUUAGUCUAUUGGAAAACCCGUGCAAACUUUCAGCCAGUUAAAAAAUAAUCGAUGGUUAAUAUAAAUGGUUAAUAAAUGGUUGCCCAUUUUUUGUGGAAUUACACAAAUAGAUAUAGCGGACUUCGAUAAGCUUUUUGACGUGAUAUUCAAUAUGUAUACGGGUAUACGGGUGGUAUCCCAUGCCUGCGACACUUCAUAAAAUUUUAGCACAUUCUACCAGGACAGGAUCAUGGCAAGUCUACCCCUUUCAACGGGAUUUAUGGGUAAAUAAGGCUCUGAAGGUAGAAACAAAUAUUAUCGGAACGAUCUCCAAUUUCACGCUCGCUAAAAUUCUAGAGCUGCGAAUUCUACGGAUGUUUUUUAUCGUACUAUGGAUUCUUCAGAUCCCAUUCUUGCAACUAGAUUUGCCAGAAAAAGAGCAGAUAUUCAAAGGUCUACGAUUGAGUGGAGAGAGUACUUGGAUUAAUAUGCAAACAAUUUAGGUUCAUGAAUAAUUGAAUAUGUAGAGAACCCUAUAAAAAUGCUAUUUUUCAAUUUUAAAACAACGAUAAUUUAUUUUCAACGAUCAUUGGAAACAAUUUAUUGACUUCAAAAUAAGCGCUUUUUCAUGCCCCAAAAGUCACUCGAACGAAUUUUCCAAAUAAAAAUCGAGAUUUUUGUCGUGAAAUUUCACGAUUCCGACCAUAGUGCAAUGAAGCAAAAUCACCAUGUUAUGUGGUUCACUUUUCGUAAGUCUUAUAAGAGAAAAAAAUCCUUUGUGCAUUGUUUGGCUAGCUUUCACUACUCAGCGAGGCAGUGCAUAGUAGAUUACAAACAAUACUUUGUGACCGAGCGUUAUAUAGACUAUCUUACAAACUGACAGGUGUCACGGAUCCUGCUGACAUUGAUGUUGCUUUUACUUGCGUUAUGUCAGCGGUUCCGAGCUUUCUGUCAAAAUUUCAUUCAUGAAUUGAGUUCAGAAACGUCUCGUAAAAUGAUCUAUUGUAGUGAUGAACUUUAUCUUCACCUACAUGUUAGUUAUGUAAAGUAGUUACUAAAACGCAAUAAAUUAUGAUGCGGAAAUAUGAAUAUCAAAUUGAUUAAUCGAAUAGCUUGUCUAUUUUAGUUUUCUGCUAUUUUUGCCACUAUUUCAUUUAAAAAAUACAUAUCGACAUCAUUGAAAACAGAAAUGGUAGUGACGGACCCCCCUCUAAAUUUUGGCAUGUGUCAAGUGUUGCAGUUAUCGAACGGCAUUCGAUAACUGCAGUGUAAACAUGUUGCAGUUAUCGAACGACGACUGUAUUUAUCACAACAAUGCCAUGAUAUAUAAAAUGAAAGUCGUGGGACAAUUAUGUCUAACAUGUUAUGAUAGUAAUAACGCUACGCUAUUGCUAAUUGUUUUGACCUGGGAGGGAGAAACGGAUACGAAGCUGUGUGAGUGUCAAAAUGAACCAGAAUGAGCUGUCACUGACUGUCAAUUUGAACCAAGCGAAAAAAGGGUUUUUUUUUGUAAAGAGUAUUGUUAUAACUGAACGGUAACGCGUUGCUUAAAAAAAUAUUCAUCGCAAACAGUUUUUGUAUUCAUUGUCGUUUUACAAAACAUUUUGGUUUAUUUUUAUGUAAAAUAAAAAUUUCAUAAGCUUUAAGGAAUAAUCAUGUUAGCGAAAAUCGAUUAUUGAACUUGCGUUUUUUCUGGAUUUAAGGCUUUUGUUACUAUUUCGAACACAAUUCAUCACGGCCGAAUGACUAUUCUCGUUUCACAAAAUAGUGAGAUGUAGGAUUGUUAAAUUUUUGAAACUGCAUGAAACCAUGAAAAAACCCUACCUUACAGGUUACGCUCUCGUACAUAUUUCCAGAAUGUCUGCGCAAAUAUAUAUGAACUCGAAACUCUAAAGAAAUUUUUAUACAACGGCAAAUUGAAAAAAAAAACGCAGAUGCGAAAAAUUUGCACAUUCAGCGUUUCUGAUAUUAAUAAAAACUUCGUUUGAGUCAUGCAUGCGUUACAGCAAGACGAUUGCUACACGCUAUCAAAAAACGACGCAUGUCCGUGUUCUCUGUUUUGAGUGUAGUAUUUGUUUCUCUCUCCCAGCUCAAACCGUAAAGUCGGCUUAUUCCCGAAUUUACACGAUGAAAUGAGAGGUUAUUUCUGGAGCUAACAGAAGUAGAAUGAAUGCCAACAAAACCUUGCGAUAUGCUUUGUUAAACUUUUUUUUAAUAUGGCAUUUGAAUAAUUCAAUAACCAAGGGAUCGAAUGUAGUAUAAAACCAAAUAAAAUCUAUAUUUCAUUAUCUUUAUUUUAAAUCUGAAUUAUCAUCAUCUAAGCACUUGUCGAGCAUAUUAGUAAUUGCACUCAAUGCAUUUUCAAAGAAUGCAUUUUUUUCCUGUGGCUCUGGUAUGAGCAAAAAAAAAACCUCAUGAAAAUCAAUGUUUGAGAAUUGAUUGAUUUAUUAUUAGUAACAAAUAUUCAUGACGUUCUCGUACGUUCAUCAAUGCUUCAUCUUCACUAACUUGUAUUAGCUCAAGCUUAAAAAAAGCAAAGCCUUGGUGCUACAUUCCGAUUCGGAACUCAACCUUCUGUUUAUUAUAUACAGACUGUUUGUAUUAGCUGAAGCUUAUUUUGCCUACAUAACGUAGAAAAGUGAGCGAAAAACGAUUUUAUUUGUUCUACCGAUGAAUACAUUUCCGGUUUGAAUUGCCUAAUUCCUACAGAAGGGUGUACUUUUGACAUCAUUCGUUUAUGAGCAUCUUCCGGUGAAACUUUUUUUCUUAUGGUAAUUUAAUUCUUUAAAGGGCACAUUAAAAAAAGGCUCAACAAAAAGUACAUAUUGCGUAGCUUUGUUGACAUUCGUUCAUUCUCUUGCUGGCUCCAAAAAUGACCUCUCAUUCCAUCGUGUAACUCCGAAAGUAAGUCGAGAGUAAUUAUUUUACGAUUUGAGCAGUUUCUAAAUAUAAGAUUUUGAAGAGCCUGUUCACCCACCGACCACUUUUCUUUUCAAAUUCUGCAAACGAUUGUAUUAGUGCAUAAACAAACAUAACCUGAAAAUUAUAGCUCAAUGGAAGAACAAUGACGCAAAACGGAGUUACGCUUCUCGCACAAUGGUUCGAAAUGAUGGUCAAUAACAUGUAAUAGAAAAAAAUGAAUUUCCUCAGGCAUCUUUAUAACGGCGCAUUUUUUGAAUAAAUCUAAUGAAGGCUCUUGAGUUGCACUACAAAACUUAUUAUUUGGAUUUUGAUCCUAGAUCUGUUGGUAAGAAUAAACUGCUGUGAAAAUCACCUUCUUUUCUUAGAAAAAUGCGAAUAUCUCAUCAUGUAUUCUCGAUAGCAACUUUCAAUAACCCUCAUUUUGUUGCCUUUAUAGAGUAGAAUAAACAUGCCUAUUUUCAUGAAAAUCGAUUCAGUUUUCACAAAGUUAUAACAAUUUUACGUUUUUGGCAAUUUUUGGAUAUCAAUUUUUGACAUGCUUUUUUACCCCCUUUUCAAAAAAGCUGACAUUAUGCAAAACAUCGUUCUAUUAAAUAGAUAAACAAACCACGAAAGUUUCAGUCCGAUCGGAGAACCUCGAUACAUACGAUACAACCUUGUCAAGGUGGUUGCGGUUCUCGCGAACUGGCUCUUAAAACAGACCGAUGUCAUGACAACAGUUUCCUGAAGCCGCCGCCGAUGAGGAUGGCGCUACUGUUGGAAAUAUGGUCAUAAGCACCGUUCAUUGUGCCGCAUGUGUUACUGUACGGAUUUUUAGCGUGCUUCUAACUAUAUUGAAUGUAGGGCUAUCCGGAACGUGUUGAAACAUGUUUGAACGUGACCAUUUAUGUUCUGCACAAAAUACAUAAAACGUUCAAAACAAUCAAACAAUCGUUUUUCGCUUUCUGCAUUUCUUCACACCACUUGCAGCAACAGUUGAUCUCGCAUGGACGGUGCUUAAUCGGCUGUUUCGCAAGCACUGACAGCCUUUUGACGUAUAAUCGAGCCAGAGAGCCAGAGAAAAACGGCUUCAAGCGAAAUGUAUGGGGAUGACGUUCGUGACAGGGAUGUGUCUUAAAACUACACAUUUUAAUCCAACAUUAAACCUGUACACUGGUUCAGUUAAAUUUAACAAAGCAUCACCGGUGUAAUCUUUCAAAACUGUGUACCUUGUGAAGAAUUUCGAAAAAUGAUAUUCUUUAUGCCAUGCUGAAAAACAGAACUUUAUUGUUCUUGGCAACAAACGACACAAAAACUGUGUUGCCGAAACGAUAGAUUUUCUCUUUACACGACUCUACAUAGACUCUAAGGGGCGACAUCUGGGGUGGCAUUGCGCAGCUCGAUUCGAACGAUUUUCGCUAUUUUUGAGUAGGUCACAUACUGCCAGUUAUGCUUUAAGCACAGACUAACAGACGUAACACUGGAGCCUCGCUCUAUCGCCAACAAAAACGGUCAAUUUGAAUCUCAAGUCGAGUAAGAACCGCCACGCGAAGAUGAUGCUCGGGGCGCUGGUGUGCAUUUUUUAAGUAACGAUUUUCUAUAUUCCACUGGAAGCGUGCCAACCUAACUAGAAAUAAAACGAUAUUGCGAUUUACGAUACAGGUAAGAAAGAGAUGCCAGAUAAUUUUUUACGAACUAAGCGUAUGUGUUGGUGUGCUGAAACAGACAAAAUUUACAGUGCUCUUUGGAGGUGCAACCCGGUCAAUAAUGGGUCAAAACCAAUCAAAAAAAGAAAGGUUUUGAUAGCAGAUAGGCUGGAUCUAGGUUAAAACUAAGUGGGAUCCAAGAAUAAAGAAAUCCCGAUCUCCCGAGUGUUUAUAUGUAAACAAAUAACACCAGAAGGAAGUCCAUCAUGGGUAGAAAAUGUGAAUACUAUUGCUGUAAAAACAACGAUUCACUACAACGGAACAAAGUUUAUCACGGUUUUCCUCAUGAUAAAGAAAGGAGUGCUCUAUGGGUACAGCUUUGUAACUCGAAACAAUUAACCGAGAGGUUCGCAAGUGGAGUAGUAGAAUCUAUCAAAAAGUUGAAAGUUUGUUCGGAUCACUUUACUCCAGCAUGUUACCGAAAUACUUCUCUUCUAAAGAAAAAACUGCAGGACACUGCAAUUCCAUCUCGAUCGACUGAAUCUAAUUACAAUUGGAUGAGGCUGGAAGCGUUAGACAAUAUAUUAGACAACGAAGGAAUGAAGUUAUCUGGACAGAUAGACCUCGAUAGAACACCGUUGUUGAAGGAAAGUGGAGAGCGAUCUUGCAUAUCUGUGUCAGAUCUAGAAGAAGCGUAUUAAAACCGGAAGAUUGGUGAAGAGUGCCGCUCAGAUAAUCUGCAUGCAGAGACACUUGACUUUCAUUAUUGCAAAAUUAAGGAAGAAAACUUUGACGUACCUUUUUCCACAUACCGAACCAUUAAGCUUGAGAUAGAGCAAGCGGAGAAUGAUACUAAAUAUGACACGAAGUGGUUCCACUACAGUAAGACUAAAGACAGUCUAAAUAACUGGAAUCUCGAAAAUACACUAGAACGCGUUGAAAAGAACAACAACGAUCUGGAGACAGAUUUGAAAAUAAAUUACAAAGCAAUGUAUCAUGGACAACUUCAGCGUAACACCAAGCUUCGAGAAGAACUGCGUAGCGUUAAAAAUUCUUUGCAACAUUCGAAACGCAAGAGCAACUGGAGGAUGAAAUCUUUAAAACUUAAAACAACGAAAAUAGCUAUUUUGAAACAUGAGCUCCGUCGACUAAAGAAAUUAAAACAGCGAAAUGAACAACUCGGAGAAGAAAUAAAACAUA